GGCCUUGCUGUGCUACAACCGGAGCUGCGGUCAGCGCUUCGAUCCUGAGACCAAUUCCGACGAUGCUUGCACAUAUCACCCAGGCGUUCCAGUCUUUCACGAUGCAUUAAAGGGUUGGUCUUGCUGUAAGAGAAGAACAACUGAUUUUUCUGAUUUCUUAAGCAUUGUAGGCUGUACAAAAGGUAGACAUAAUAGUGAGAAGCCACCUGAGCCAGUCAAACCUGAGGUCAAGACUACUGAGGAGAAGGAACUAUCUGAAUUAAAACCAAAAUUUCAGGAACACAUUCAAGCCCCUAAGACAGUAGACGCGAUAAAAAGACCAAGCCCAGAUGAACCAAUGACAAAUUUGGAAUUAAAAAUAUCUGCCUCCCUAAAACAAGCACUUGAUAAACUUAAACUGUCAUCAGGGAAUGAAGAAAAUAAGAAAAGAAGACAAUGAUGAAAUUAAGAUUGGGACCUCAUGUAAGAAUGGAGGGUGUUCAAAGACAUAUCGGGGUCUAGAGAGUCUAGAAGAAGUCUGUGUAUAUCAUUCUGGAGUACCUAUUUUCCAUGAGGGGACGAAAUACUGGAGCUGUUGUAGAAGAAAAACUUCUGAUUUUAAUACAUUCUUAGACCAAGAGGGCUGUACAAAAGAGAAACAUGUGGACUAAAAAAGAUGCUGGGAAAAAAGUUGUUCCAUGUAGACAUGACUGGCAUCAGACUGGAGGUGAAGUUACCAUUUCAGUAUAGGCUAAAAAUUCACUUCCAGAACUUAGUCGAGUAGAAGCAAAUAGCACAUUGUUAGAUGCGCAUAUUGUAUUUGAAGGAGAGAAGGAAUUUGAUCAAAAUGUGAAAUUAUGGGGUGUGAUUGAUGUAAAGCGAAGUUAUUAACUAUGACUGCAACAAAGAUUGAAAUCACUAUGAGAAAAGCUGAACCGAUGCAGUGGGCAAGCCUUGAACUGCCUGCAGCUAAAAAGCAGGAAAAACAAAAAGACGACACAGCAGA
rnacentral:lncRNA from 1 species